ACCCCUCUUCCAUGUCUUUGUUUUUUCUCUUUUUGUGCAGCUCCAUUGAAACGAAGCCUUCGUUUAAUGAAUAAUGGAUACUACGACUCUAAUGGGAAACCAACAAUUUCCUAUCGAGAGACGAGAGUCAGGAGUAGGACAAAAAGACGCCCAGUUUGCAGUAAAAUGCAAGAUAACCACCAAGAGAAUGAUAAGCUUUUCACUGUAAAAGAUGGGAUUAUCAGUCCGUUACAACGUAAUGGGAUCAUCUUUGUCAUCUUGCUCUUGUCUGGAUGUAGCUGCAUAUUUUCUGCUCUGCACUUAAGACCUUCAGAGUCAAUAGUUUUAGUAACUCCAGUGGAGAUG